rnacentral:rRNA from 1 species
AUUGAACGCUGGCGGCAUGCCAUACACAUGCAAGUCGAACGGUAACAGGUCUUCGGAUGCUGACGAGUGGCGAACGGGUGAGUAAUACAUCGGAACGUGCCUAGUAGUGGGGGAUAACUACUCGAAAGAGUGGCUAAUACCGCAUGAGAUCUACGGAUGAAAGCAGGGGAUCGCAAGCCCUUGUGCUACUAGAGCGGCCGGUGGCAGAUUAGGUAGUUGGUGGGAUAAAAGCUUACCAAGCCGACGAUCUGUAGCUGGUCUGAGAGGACGAUCAGCCACACUGGGACUGAGACACGACCCAGACUCCUACGGGAGGCAGCAGUGGGGAAUUUUGGACAAUGGGCGAAAGCCUGAUCCAGCAAUGCCGCGUGCAGGAUGAAGGCCUUCGGGUUGUAAACUGCUUUUGUACGGAACGAAAAGCCCCGGGUUAAUACCCUGGGUUCAUGACGGUACCGUAAGAAUAAGCACCGGCUAACUACGUGCCAGCCGCCGCCGUAA